rnacentral:rRNA from 1 species
CUACGGAACUCCUACGGGAGGCAGCAGUGGGGAAUUUUGGACAAUGGGCGCAAGCCUGAUCCAGCAAUGCCGCGUGCAGGAUGAAGGCCUUCGGGUUGUAAACUGCUUUUGUACGGAACGAAAAGUCUUGGGUUAAUACCCUGGGAUCAUGACGGUACCGUAAGAAUAAGCACCGGCUAACUACGUGCCAGCAGCCGCGGUAAUACGUAGGGUGCAAGCGUUAAUCGGAAUUACUGGGCGUAAAGCGUGCGCAGGCGGUUUUGUAAGACAGUGGUGAAAUCCCCGGGCUCAACCUGGGAACUGCCAUUGUGACUGCAAGGCUGGAGUGCGGCAGAGGGGGAUGGAAUUCCGCGUGUAGCAGUGAAAUGCGUAGAUAUGCGGAGGAACACCGAUGGCGAAGGCAGUCCCCUGGGAUAACACUGACGCUCAUGCACGAAAGCGUGGGGAGCAAACAGGAUUAGAAACCCGGGUAGUCCUCUUCGA